GAAAAACACUAGAGCUGUGACAGAGAAGCAAAGAGAAAUUAGUGAUGUUACAGAGAACACGUCAAAAGCAGGCUGAUUUUUUAAGUGUGGAUGGCCGUUAUCAUCUGCUCCGCCUGGGAUUGUGGAAGAUGUAGCAAAGGCAACAGUAGCAAUCAGUGCUGCUACGAGAGAGAAUGAAUUGGCAGUUGUGACGAGCCAUUGAGUUCCAUCACUGAGUAAAUUUGCAUGUGUCUCUAUGAAGAUCUGUCU
rnacentral:misc_RNA from 1 species